GACAGACAGACAGACAGCCAGGCAGGUAUAUAAAGGUGAGGGGAUGAGGGAAGAAGGGUGUCAUUCCUUUGGUUCUCUACUGCCUCCUCCUAGCCAUGAUGACAACCACAGGCAGAAGCUCCCUCCUCCUGCUCCUCCUCCUGGGCUCCACCGCCACCGCCCUACCCAAGUCAUCCUGCGUCGGCGCCUCCUGCGGGCACGGCGCGGCUGCUAGCGUGGGUGGAGCCGCGGUUGGGUCAGAGGCGAGGUCCUCCUCCUACAGUAGCUACGGUGCAGGAGACGCCCACCAGACAGGGAGGAGUGGAGCGCUCGCCGUGAACCAACUGGGUGGAGGAGGCGGAGGCAGUUAUGGUGGAGGUGGAUCAGCUGUCUUCGUCCAUGCUGGUGGAGCAGGUGGAGGAGUGGGCAGUGGAUAUGAUGGUGUUGGUGUUGGUGGAUUUGCCCAUGGUGGAGGAGUGGAUAGUGGAUAUGGUGGAGCGGGUGUUGGUGUUGGUGCUGGAGUAGGUGGAUUUGGUCAUGGUGGAGUAGUGGAUGGUGGAUACGGUGGAGUUGGUGGUGGAGUAGGUGGAUUUUGGCCAUGGUGGAAUAGUGGAUGGUGGAGUAGGUGGAUUUGGCCAUGGUGGAGUGGAUGGUGCAUAUGGUGGAGUUGGUGUCGGAGUGGAUGGUGGAUAUGGUGGAGUCGGAAGUGGAGUUAGUGGAUUUGGUCAUGGUGGAGUUGGAAGUGGAGUUGGUGGAUUUGGUCAUGGUGGAGUAGAUGGUGGAUACGGUGGUGGAGUGGGCGGUGGAUUUUGUGGGUGGACGUGGCGUGUUUGGAGACGGUAGGUAUGAUGGUGGACUAGGUGGAUUUGGUGGAUUUGGCAAUGACGUGUAUGGUGGAAGUGGCGCGAUUGGUGGUGGAUUCCUCGACGAUGGAUACAGCACCGGUGGAGUAGGAGGUGGAUUCGGCGGCCACGGCACUGCAGGCGGCUACGGUGGAGUAAGCGGAGGCAGCGCAAGUGGAAUUUUGGUCAGCGACGGGAACCUCUUCAACGGCGGUGGAUACGGGGACGGUGGAAUUAUCCUGGAUGGUGGAUCAGUGCACGGUGGAGGAAGUGGAUACGGCGACGGUGGGAAUACUUCACGGUGGAGCUGGUGGAGUAGGCCUGGGAGGUGGAUCACAUGGGUAUUCUGACGGUGGAUCACACGCUGGUGGAAGCUCCUCCCAAGGCUACCCAUCAACUCCAUCCACUGGCUACCUUCCACCUGCCUUUUAAAUCAUCUAAAAGUGGAUGACUGUAUUUCUAAAGGACGGAAUUCUUCAUUGUAUAGGAAAAUUUGAUGAAAAAUGACAAUAAAAAUAACUUAAUGCAUAGAAUGAAAA